CGGCGAACGGGUGAGUAACGCGUGGAUAUCUACCCUGAGGUGGGGGAUAACCCGAGGAAACUCGGGCUAAUACCGCAUGAUACCGCGAGGUCAAAGAGGGCUUCGGCUCUCGCCAUGGGAUGAGUCUGCGUCCGAUUAGCUAGUUGGUGAGGUAAUGGCUCACAAAGGCGACGAUCGGUAGCCGGCCUGAGAGGGUGAUCGGCCACACUGGAACUGAGACACGGUCCAG
rnacentral:rRNA from 1 species